rnacentral:rRNA from 1 species
UUUGUAGCAAUACAAAUACUCGUGGCGAACGGGUGCGUAACACGUGGAUAACCUUCCUUCAGGUGGGGAAUAACCCAGUGAAAAUUGGGCUAAUACCGCAUAACAUCGCGGUGGCACAUGCUGUUGCGUUCAAAGCCGCAAGGCGCCGGAAGAGGGAUCCGCGGCCGAUUAGCUUGUUGGCGAGGUAAUGGCUCACCAAGGCUUUGAUCGGUAUCCGGACUGAGAGGUUGGCCGGACACACUGGAACUGAGACACGGUCCAGACUCCUACGGGAGGCAGCAGUGGGGAAUCUUGCACAAUGGACGAAAGUCUGAUGCAGCAACGCCGCGUGGGGGAUGAAGCUUCUCGGAGUGUAAACCCCUUUCGACCUGGACGAAUGCCCGCAAGGGUUUGACGGUACAGGUAUAAGAAGCCCCGGCUAACUACGUGCCAGCAGCCGCGGUAAUACGUAGGGGGCCAGCGUUGCUCGGAAUUACUGGGCGUAAAGGGUCCGUAGGCGGUGUGGUAAGUCGAUAGUGAAAUCUCUGGGCUUAACCCAGAGGCUGCUAACGAAACUACCAUGCUAGAGUGUGAGAGAGGCGAGUGGAAUUACGGGUGUAGCGGUGAAAUGCGUAGAUAUCCGUAGGAACAUCCGAGGCGAAAGCGGCUCGCUGGAUCACAACUGACGCUGAGGGACGAAAGCUAGGGGAGCAAACAGGAUUAGAUACCCUGGUAGUCCUAGCCCUAAACCAUCAUGACUUGGGGUUUGCCCUGUACGGGGCAAGUCCCGUAGCUAACGCGUUAAGUCAUGCGCCUGGGGAGUACGGUCGCAAGGCUGAAACUC